ensembl:lncRNA
AGGGUGCAGUGGCGGCCUUCAUCUGCACAGCAGGGGGUCCUCCUCCCAAGACACCUCCAGGACCUGGUGAGUGAUUUCUGUGUAGAACUAAAGGCAGUCGUCCCCAAAACCCCAGCUCUGAAGUCGAGCAAAGGGAAGCCGUUAGGGAAAUACUGGGACUCCUCCCUAGGGAAACAGCAUCGGGAAAGGGAGAGUUGGAGAGAAAAACUUACUGCAUUCUAGGGGUUCCUCCAUCACAUACCAGUUCCCAUCAACACUGCGGGGUUCCAGAAAACUUCAGAUGGAAAUUCUCCACAAAUUCAUGUAUGGAUCUUCCUCGGAAUAUAUCAAUGAGAAAUUCAUGGAAAUCUUCUGCAGAACAGCAGGGAGUCCUCCAGUCUAAAGUAACCCAGUCCACACGGGAGCCUCCCUGAGCAGCACAGCAGGGGUUCUCCCUACUCAGCCAGUUUGAAUCCAUUGUGGUGGGGAAGGGGAAGGGAGCCAGAGCGACAUGACAAGGGGUCUCCCUUCCAAUAUAGGUUUUGUUCGCAGAGUUCCUGGCCCUCUACUGCACAGAAUGGCAUCCUCCUUACACAGAAGCUCCAGAACAUAGACAGCCAUUCCUGUGUAGCACAAAGAGAAGUCCUCCCUAAACAACAACACUCGUCCCUGAAGGGAGGAAAUGUUUAGGAAAAUAGCCGGGGCCCUCCACAGGGAAACCUUACAUGCACAUCAAGGAGUCUUCCUUACUAAUCCCGUUCUCACCUAUAAUUUGGGGGUCUAGAGGAUGACUGAACCUCAAAAUUCUCUCUCUCUGCCUCUCUCUCUCUUCUAUAUAGAUAUAUUUACAUAGGUAAUCCUCCUAGUCAAAAAGCUGACACUUAGCUUGAGGAAUGGGGAAACUGAGGCAGCCCAGUGGGGGGUCUCCCUCCCAAGCUAGUUCUUAGCCAUUGUGGUAGGUGUGAGAAGGGAUCUGGAGGGACAAGAGUAGGGGUCUCCUUACCCACAUGGGCCUGAUUUGCAGAGGGAACAGUAGGGUCCUUUGGCUGCACAGCAGGGGGCCUCCUCCAAAGACAGCUGCAGUGCAGGGGGAACAAAGUGAAGCAGCGCAGCAGGGGUCUCCCUCCCAAGCUACAUCUUAGCCAUUGUGAGGGUGCGGUGGCGUUCUUCAGCUGCACAGCAGUGGGUUCCCUUCCAAAGACAGCUCCAGGACGUGGUGAGCAUUUUGAUCUUAUCUUGGUGUACGGCGUUAAGUGUGGGUCCCUACCUAAUUUCUGCCAUACUAAUUUUCAGUCUUCCCAGCAGUUUUUGGCAAAUAAUGAAUUCUUAUCCCAAAAGUUGGGAUCUUUUGGUUUGUCAAACACUAGACUGUUAUAG